rnacentral:rRNA from 1 species
GACGAACGCUGGCGGCGUGCUUAACACAUGCAAGUCGAACGGAAAGGCCCUGCUUUUGUGGGGUGCUCGAGUGGCGAACGGGUGAGUAACACGCGAGUAACCUGCCCUUGACUUUGGGAUAACUUCAGGAAACUGGGGCUAAUACCGGAUAGGAGCUCCUGCUGCAUGGUGGGGGUUGGAAAGUUUCGGCGGUUGGGGAUGGACUCGCGGCUUAUCAGCUUGUUGGUGGGGUAGUGGCUUACCAAGGCUUUGACGGGUAGCCGGCCUGAGAGGGUGACCGGCCACAUUGGGACUGAGAUACGGCCCAGACUCCUACGGGAGGCAGCAGUGGGGAAUAUUGCACAAUGGGCGGAAGCCUGAUGCAGCAACGCCGCGUGCGGGAUGACGGCCUUCGGGUUGUAAACCGCUUUCGCCUGUGACGAAGCGUGAGUGACGGUAAUGGGUAAAGAAGCACCGGCUAACUUCGUG